rnacentral:rRNA from 1 species
UACGUAGGGUGCGAGCGUUAAUCGGAAUUACUGGGCGUAAAGCGUGCGCAGGCGGUUCGCGAUGUCUGGUGUGAAAGCCCCGGGCUUAACCUGGGAAUUGCAUUGGAAACUAGCGGGCUGGAGUGCGGUAGGGGAGAUUGGAAUUCCUGGUGUAGCGGUGGAAUGCGCAGAUAUCAGGAGGAACACCGAUGGCGAAGGCAGAUCUCUGGGCCGUAACUGACGCUGAGGAGCGAAAGCGUGGGGAGCGAACAGG